rnacentral:snoRNA from 1 species
AAAGGCAUGAUGCCAGUAUAAGUCGCUCAGAAGCCAAGCGUAACAAGAGUAUUUCAUCAAAGAACCAAUUGAUCGGUUGGCCUUCUUAUGUGU